rnacentral:lncRNA from 1 species
CUUCAGGAUAGCAUAAAAAUAUAUGGGGAUUAAUGAAACUAGACAUAAAACACAAAGUGUUACAAUUUUUGAAAACCUGGUGAAUGUUUUCAUUAUGCGAGUAUAUUAAAAAAAUAAAAAACAGGGGCCUGGCACUGUGGCAUAACAGGUUAGGAUUCUACCUGUGAGGCCAGCAUCCCAGGUGUGCCACAUUAGAGACCUGGCUGCUCCACUUCUGAUCCAGCUCCUUGCUAAUAUGCCUGUGAAAGAAUGAAGGAUGUACAAGUGCCUCAGCACUUGUGCCCCGUGAGAGAACUGGAAGGAACUCCAGGCUUCUGUCUUCGGCUUAUCCCAGCACCAUCCUGGCCUAGCACUUCCUCUCUCUGUAACUAUGCCUUUCAAAAAAAAAGUACCAAUUGUAAGGGAUUGCAUUAAAAUUGAAGAAACUUGUACAUAUGAAGGCAUGAUAAAACUUAAGACGUUAUCCAGGAUAUGGAAAUUAUAUAUCCAUAUUAUCAUUUUACAGAGAGUUCAACAAAUUAAUAGGGACAGAGAAACAACUCAGUGGAAAAAUUGACAAUGGAUCUGGAUAAUUCAUUCACAGAAUAUCAACUCUGAGAGGCCAUUAAACAAGAAGAUCCUCAACUUUACCAGAGCAAACGCAGGUGUGGCUUGAACUCACAGUAAAAUAGUAUGCAUACCAAUGAGAUUGGGGCAUUUCUCAUCCUCUUGAAGUGGGAAGCCAUAAAAUUAUUUGAAAAUGCAAUUCAUCUGUUACAUAAGAAAACUGAAGAGGUGGUAUUCCACAGGCGCUGCACCAUCACUCACAGAUCCCAGGAGCAAACGAGUGGAUGUGAAUCAUCAGAGUGCCUGGAAGAGCAUAAGUAGUCAAUACUUAAUAAGGGCAACAAUUAAAAACUCAAAUUAGGACUGUGGAAUUUCUAUUUAGUUUACAAAAAUAAGGUUGUCUGUUAGUAGAGAUGGAUAUUUUAUAAUAUAGACAUGGAAAGUCAUAUAUGACCAUAAUAGUAUUUGUAACUUUUGUAUAUUUAAAAUGAUUUUUUAAAAAACAGCAUGGCUUGUUUUUCUUGCUUUGUAUUCAAGGCUUUCUCUGGUUUUACUCAAUUAUGAAUAAAAUUUUUGCAUCAAUAUUUUUAGAGACA